rnacentral:lncRNA from 10 species
AAUUCAGACUAACGAUCUUCUGUUGGUCCCUUCUGGUAGGGCCGAGGAGACCCCAGCAUCACGUACUAAUCAGCAAAAUGUACGUAAGGGCCUCAAGAACAGACUGCCCUGAACGUUCCUGUGUGUUGCUCCAGGUACCACCUACUCAUCCUCCAAUAUCCAGCUGGCACCUCCUCUGGGAAGACUUCCUGGAUAUUUCAGGUUGAUUUAGCAGCAUGCUAUGUGUAUCACACUGAAAUGGCCUACAUCCAGAAGCUGACACAUGGUAAAGAAUUAAAAGUUUCUUGAAAGAAUGCAUUAAUGCAACUUAUUUUCUGCUUCUAUUGUUUUUCUUGUAGUAUACCAACUAGGACACUUUUUGAAGAAACUGCAAUUCUUCUCAGCAUUCAAUUCUGUCCAGUGGCAAAGGUGAUCAGGAGAUUCAAAGUAGUAAAAAUAAUCCCCAAAGUAGUGCUACCACUAGGCCCUGGAAACCAACCUCACAUACUAAAGACAGACUGAAGAUCUGCAUUGAGCUAAGCCCUAAUUAUGUUCAGUGUUCUUAACUUUGAAUCUAGACUCCCAGGCUUUGUACUAUGCCGUAACCAAUUGGGCAACUAAAUGAUGACCGGUACAGCACAGCUGCUAAGAUCACAGACUAAUCCAAACUGCCCGGGUCUGUACCUUGCUUCAGCCACUGUCUAGCUGUGUGUCUUGGGCAAGUUAGUUAAUCCCUUUAUGCCUCAGUUUGCUUAUCUGUAAGAUGGGAACAAUAUUAACAGUACUGACCUCAUAGAAUAAAUGAUUUCACAUACGUGAAUGGUUACAACAGUGCUUUGCACAAAUUAAGUACUACUUAACCAGCUAUUUUUUGUAUUUCUUCUAUUAACUGGCAAACACAGAGAGAGAGGAAUAUCUAAGAAGCAAAUCAGAGGUAAUUUCAGGGUGUCUCUUUGCUGUGUGGAGACACUCCUGGCUCUCCUAGUGCCCACUUAAUUAAUUCACAGAUCAGAAUUGCAAGACCUAUGUCUAAUAUUGCCAGGGGUCUGCAGAAGAGACAUUGUCCUCCUUCCAGCUGGCUCCUCCAACACAGCCAAAGCAACAUGGGUUGUUCAUUCCUUACACAUCAACUAUAGCUGUGGGAACAAUGAGUUCUGCCUUUUUUUCCCUGUCCACUGCUUUCAUAUUUAAGGUUGCUCCUGUGUCAGUAGUGAUUAUCUCAGAAGAUCUCCCUGUAUAUAAGGCCCCAUGAACAAGAAAAUUUUGUAUCAAUUAACAAGAGACAAGCUUAGGGGAAGAAGUGCUUCCUGAACAUCACCUGCAGACUAGACUAUAGCACUCUUGUGGGAUCCCAACAAAUACGUCGUCCACCCCGCUCCCAACUAUUUAAAGAAUAUUUGAAAGCACUCGAAUUCUUUGGCAUAAACACUCUUUGAAAUGCAAGUUAUGUCGAAUCCUAGAAUUUUACUUCUGGAAGAUGUGGUGGGAGAUUAUAUAAAAUGGGGAAUCAGUGACCCAGCACCAUGGCUUCCCAGCUCCUCUGCACGCCCCCCCAUAUUUCCCAACCCUUGCAUUUGAAAUUUAAAAUGUUCUUUAAAAAAUUAAAGGCUUUCAGUGUUGAGUGAUAGUCACGCACUGCAUAAGGAUAUUUCAGUCAACAAUGGACCAAAUAUAUGACAGUAGUCGCGUAAGAUUAUAAUGAAGCUGAAAAAUUCCUACAGCCUAAUGAUGUCACAGCUGUCAUGUCAUAGCAUUUUUUUUAAAUAUAGUGUAGCCUAAGUUUAUAAUAUUUAUAAAGUCUACAAUAGUGUAACGUCCUAGGCCUUCACAUUCACUCACCACUCACUGACUCACCCAGAGCAACUUCUAGUCCCACAAGCUCCAUGCA